AGAGACAGAAAGAAAUUAAAACAGUCUCUGUCCUCCAAGAGAUCACCCUCUUACGGGUGUUGGGUAGGGGAGAUUGAGAAAUGGAGAGGCAGGACUAUGAACCAUGUGGUGAGUGCUGAACUAGUCAAACAUAAACUGCAGCAAAAGCUGCAGGAAGGAGGCUCUAAGCAGGCUACAUUAUCUGGUUUGAGAAAACUUAUAAAGUCUGAGACGAACAGAGAGUGGGGAAAAUGCCUCACAAGAAGGAGAACAAAAAGGUGUUCUAAGCAAAGUAGUUUAAAGGCAGCGUUAAAGGUCACACUGUCUCAGGGUUAUAAAAUUGUGCAUUUCAGAUGAGGUAUGUGGGGUGGUGGUUUAAGUAAGAGAGGAAGUUGAAGAGUUGUUUAGGCAUAUGAAAGAGGUUUUUUUUUUAGUUUCAUUUUCUAAGGCACAGAGAUCCACUGAAGAUUUUAAAUUGAGAAGCAUCACUGAUUAGACCUGGGUGACUCUGGUGUAAAGUGACAGUUUGAGAGUUCCUAAUACAAUUUGUUUCCUCUAACAUGUCACAUCAAAUUAGAUUUUUAAAAAAGGAAGUAAAAACCUGCAAAUGAGGAAUGCUGUACUAAAUUAGUACACAGAGUUACUCAUGGAACUGGGGAAAAUGAUCUAGAAUUUGAGACAAUAUCCUCUGGGGAUAUGGGAUGUACAGGGGAUAGAAACUGAAGUAUCCAGUCCCACAGUGUAAACCAAGAGGCAAAGACAGGUAUUUGUUAAGUACAACAAGAGCCAAGAGUCACACCAGGUUCUGGCAGGUCUCCUCACUUUUUCUUCUCCCACACCCCUCACCCCAUCACCACCAUCUGCUUUGGGACCACUGGAGCUAAUCUUGAGUGAGUCUCUACAAAAUUCCAGGCUCCGGCUCAUCUCAUGUUCCCUUGAGCUGCUUUCCAGGAAGCUGCCACACAGCUUUUUCUGGGGCCAUCGCCUAUCUCCCUGCUUCCAGGAAUCCUUUCGCUGGGCCCUCUGAACUCAGUGCACCUCCACUACCCCCCAGCCUUUGCAGUAGCUGCUCUUUACCCCUUGCUGUAAUAGAAACCUGGCUCUCAUCUGGAGCCACAGCUGUCCCCACAGACCUCACACUACUGGAAGCUGGGAUGUGGCAGAUGUCCUCCUUGCUCUUGGUGUUGCUCCCUCACCCUAAAAACACUCAACUUGGAAUCCUUUGUUAUUCACUACUUCUAGCUGCAAGCAUCUAUUGAUCCCUGAGGCACUCACUUCAUUUCUUGAAGAUUUUAACUCAUCAUUCACUGUUACUCUGUGACUUCUUUGGUCAUGCUUCUUGGUGAGUUCAGUAAACGGACAGGUAAUUCUUCCAAAAGCCUGGGCUCCCAGGUUCCUUGUUUUCUUCUUGAAUGACCAGGUUAUUUCUCUUAGUAACUCACCCAAUGGACAUACUCAAAAGAUGUUCUUAUUUCCAACAAUUUUAUCACCUUCAGAAAGCUGUAGUACUGUAUCUUAUUCUUCAACCACUUUCCAGCUUGCUCGUUCUAGAACCCUAAUUCAAAUAUUCCUUCAACACCACUCCCAACGCUCAAUUUUUCAUACCCUGUUCACUGCUUCUCAUUUCCUUAGUGUUUCUUCUUUGGUUUUUAUUGUGCUCAAAGCCCAAGAUCAACUAUUAAAUCCUUCCAUUACAUUUAUCAAAUUCUUUGCCUUUCUUUUUUCUUUUUUUUUUGUACUGGGAAUUGAAUUCAGGACCUUGCACUUGCAAGGCAGGCGGUGGCACCACUGAGCUAAAUCCCAGCUUUGCCUUUCUUGCUUGUAUUAUUCACUAAACUAAACUACAAUCUUACUUAAGUACUAUCUUCAGUGACUUCAUGCACACACCAUCACAAGUUAUCAGAGCUAGAAAAAUAUCACACAAACAUUCAUGAACAUUAACCUCUGGUGGGCCUGGGCAGUCAUGGUGCAUAUGCCUCAAUCAGUCACUCAGCUAUGUCUUGGGACGAUGACUCCAUGCCUUUUCUCCAUUCUGACUGAGUCGUUGACUCUGCUUCCUGUUUCAGUGAGGGAAUAGAAGCAAACAGAAGUCUACCACAAGUGUGCCUUUUCCAUCAACUCCUCCACUUGCAUCUGUACCUAAAUAUUUUACUGUUUUAGCUCAUCUGUGCUGCUGGCUAAGGCCACUCUCACUAUACAGCACUGGAUGGCAUCCUCAAAGGUUGACUGAUAACUGCUCUACAUGUGUACCUCUUUUUUUUAUUCCUAUCAUCAAAUUCUACCCUCUUUAUUGGACUUUCUCAUCAUACAGUAUCUCAUCAGAAUUCUAUUAACACUUUCACCUUAAAAAAACAAAUCUCUUCACUCUAAUUCCUCUUCUAGCUACUUCAUUUUUCUUCCUGUGAAGCACCCACAUUCACUGUCUAUGUUCCUCUUGUUCCACUUCAGUCACUCACUCCCACCACUCCAUCCAAAGGCUUCCUCUGUGGGGCUAAAGCCAGUGAUCAACUCUUGGUCCUCAUCUUACUUACUAUCAGUCCCAUCAGACAGCAUCUGACAGACUUGAUCAGUCUCACACAAGAUAAUUCUUUUGGUCUCUUAUUUAGCUUUCAACCUACCACACUCUAAAUACUCCUCCUUCCUCUUUGACCAUUCCUGUUUCGUUUACAUCUUCCCCUGCCUCUAAGUUUCAUACUGUUUGAAUUAGGCUUUGGUUCUCUUCUCUACCCUCACAAUCAAAGUGACCUCAUUCAGACCAUGACUUCAAAUAUCACCCAUAUGCUGAUGACUUCCAAGUUUAUAUCUUUAGCCUAGACCAUUCCCUGAACAAAGUCCUAUAAAACCAUCAAGUAGACACCUCGACUUAGAUGCCUAAUAAGCACCUAAAACCUAGUAUCUAAAACUGUGCUCCUGAGUUUCUCUACAAAUCUGCUUUUUUGGUAGUCUUUCCUUCUCAGCAAAUGGCAUCUCCAUUUUUCCAGAUGCUCAGACCAUCCUGCACUGUCCUACCUUAAAAACAGAACCAGAAUCGGACUAUUUCCUGCCAUGUCUACUGCUUUUUUCUGGUUCAUCUCUUGCAUAAUUUCUUGUAAUAGUCUCGAACUGGUUUCCUUUGCACCCUCACUUUUCCUGCACACCUUUCUCACCAUAACAGUCUUAAGUGAUCCUGUGAAAACAGGUUAAACCCUGUCCCUUCUCUAUUUGAAACCCUCUGUGACUCCUUAUCACUCUCACAGUAAAAGUGAAAGUCUAACAACGACCUGGUCCUCCAUAGCCUCUCUUCUGGCUGUUACUGGCAGUAGGAGCAAUUCUGCUAUAAUUGUUUGGAUGUUCUUCCCCAGAUGCCACAUGCCCCAAUCCCUCAAUUCUUUGAAAUCACAUGAAAAUAUAAACCUCUCAGUGAAAUCUUUCCUGAUCUCUUGGCUAAAAUUACAUACCUUCCUCUUUCCUCUGACAUCACUUCCUCUUCCCUACUUAAUUUUUUCACUUAGUGCUCACAAAGAAAACUAUAUAUGUUACUUUUUGGUUUGUAGUAGUUUUUACCCCUAUGCAAUAAUGUCUGUCGGCUCCAUGAGGACAGGGACUUGUCAGUUUUGUUCACUGCUUAUGCACCUAUCAGAAUAGUGCCUGGCACAUAACAAUUAUUCAAUAAGUACUAACUGAAUAAAUGAAUAAAAGCUAUCCACUCCUUGAAGCAACAAUAAGAUGUAUGGAGGGAAUCAAAGCAUGAUCAAGAUGAAAUUAAAUGGUAUGGCAACAAUGUAGCAGCAGAAGAAAAAAAAUCCUUAGAGCAGUAAAACCCAACUAACUAAAGAAAACACAUCAAGAAAAAGGAAAAAGGCUAGGGGUGGAGAGGUGUAGUUUGUAGUAGAGCAUGAGAGGGGUGGGGUGGCAGAGAGAGAGGCACAUCAAAAGACAAGGAGCACAACACAUACGAAAAUAAAAGUCAAUAGAAAAUUCCUAAAUUCUUCAUAACUGAUUCAAGCUACUGAACUUAAUAACAGUACAGUCAGGCCGGGGAUUUAGCUCAGUGGUUCUGCCGCCUGCUCUGCAAGCGCAAUGACCGGAGUUCAAUCCCCAGUACCAAAAAAAGAAACACAGUAGUCAAUAAAAAGCUUGAAUAUGAGAUGAUAAAUAGCUCUGCAAGAUAAAACAAAGGAUUAUUACAGGACCAAACAAACACAUAAACACAUCUUCAAAACGGGAUAUAUAUACACAUAUAUGAAAUUUAACAAGGAAUAAGACAUAUGCAGUGCACUGCAGGAAAUAAAAUUUAGGACGUAAAGGCUGAGUAUAAUUCUAGUGAAUGAAGUUGUAAAAAAGAAAUAGAAGCAAUCAGAUAAAAAUAAAACUUAUCUAACAUAAGGCUAACUGGUAUUCCUGAAGUAGGGAUCCUAACAAAUGGAAUAGCAGAUAUACUCAAAGAUAUCAUACAUUUCCCAGAAAUACAGAGAGCACUGGACCUGGAGAUUAAAAGAGCAUAUAUAUUACUAAUACAUAGCUUCAUUUGGACUUCAAAAGAUAAAUCUUUAGGCAUUCCCUACAUAAAAGAAAUUCACCUAAAUGGGGAAAAAUCAGGCCAGACCCAGACUAUCCCUUACUAGAACAACAAUUUCUACAAAGUUCUAAGGGAAUGGAAAAAGCAUGACCAGAUAAUAUACAGGCUGAAUAUCCCAUAUCCACAAUGCUUGAGACCAGAAGUGUUUUAGACAUUAAAAUAUCUGCAUAUAUAUAUAAUCAGACAUCUCAUGGAGGGGAUCUAAGUCUAAACACAAAUUCAUUGUAUUUCAUACACAUUUUACUCAUGUAUACUUAUGUUAACUUAAUACUGUUUUGUUUUGUUUUUGUACCGGGGAUCGAACUAGGGACCUUGCGCUUGCAAGGCAGGCGCUGGAACCACUGAGCUACAUCCCCGGCCCAAUACUGUGUUUUUAAUGUUGCAUUUUAACUGUAACCAUCACAUGAAUGAGGUGUGGAAAGAAAGUCUUGUCAGCACCCAUAAAGUUUCAGAUUUUGGACCAUUUUGUAUUUUGGUUUUUUGCAUUAGGGAUGUUCAAUUAUAUUCAGCCCAAUACAGUCUCAGAAUUAAGGCAGCCAGGUACACAUUUCAAACCUGUGAUGACCCCAUGGAACAUGGUACAUCUGAAGCCUUCUCAGAAAAAAAAAGAUUAACAUAAACUUUAGUCAAAGAACUGAGGAAAGGAGAACCGUAACAAGGAAGUCAAUAAACAGGAAGUCCACCAAAUAUUUAAGACUUUAGCCUGUACCAUGGAAUGUUUUAAGAGCUGGGGAUAUGACAAUAACAAAAUCCCCGACCUUACAGAGCUUACUUUUUCUGGAAAAGAAGAAACAGAUAUUGUCAGAUACUGAGAGGUGAGGAGUGCUAUGGAAAAAAAUGGAGCAGAUUAAAGAGGAAAAAGAGCAAUGGGCUGGGGAGUGGAGGAAGCACCAUUGCUUUAUAAAGAGUGGCCAGGGAAGAGCCUCUUACAAAGCUACAUUUCUUUUUUUUUUGGUACCAGGGAUCGAACUCGGGUCCUUGCGCUUGCGGGGCAGGCGGUGGCACCACUGAGCUAAAUCCCCAGUCCUUACAAACCUACAUUUGACGAGUCCUGAAGGCACCAAGAGAGCCAGCUACAUGGCUGACUGUGGGCAGGAGCAGAGUGCACACAGGCUCUGAGAUGUGAAGACAACGAUGGUGUCACAAUGGCUGACGUGGAAUGGGAGAGCUGGGAGCUGAGGCUGAGGGCCUGGGACAGAAUAAACAGUCAAGAGACGGGAGGCUCUGUGCCUGGGCGGGGGUUAGAGCUGGACCCUGCCACCCAUGGAGUGCUUGGGGAGACAAGAGAGGAGUGCGGCUUCAGAGAUGGAGUGUGUGCAAAGGAGCAUGGGAAGAGGAAUAUGCCGUGUCACCUUCAGGAAAACUACAAAUCCUAUGAGGUCCACUUCAGAACAAGAUGGCUGAAAGUCUGGAUCUAAUAGUCUGUUGAAGCAAAGGGCCUCCCUUGGGUGAUAAAUCUGGAAUAAGAUUUCAUUUGAAGCCUACAGGAAAAAAAAAAAUUUUGAUGCUGCAAGAUGAUAGAUUCUGUAUCUCUUUCCCUCUGUUAAGAGGGAAUAUAAAUCUGAUGAUGGUCGCCAAAUACUCAAUAUAACUGUUAAGAGAAAGAUGAAGAUACUACAAUGGGAAGAAUUGAUAAUCAUUAAAAUUCUUAUGUAAAAAUAAGCACAGGUAACAAUAAAAAUCAAUCUAUUAUGACCAUGA